CCCUUAGAUGUUCUGGGCCGCACGCGCGCUACACUGAUGCAUUCAACGAGCCUAUCCUUGACCGACAGGUCCGGGUAAUCUUUGAAUCUGCAUCGUGACGGGGAUAGAUUAUUGCAAUUAUUAAUCUUCAACGAGGAAUGCCUAGUAGGCGCAAGUCAUCAGCUUGCGUCGAUUACGUCCCUGCCCUUUGUACACACCGCCCGUCGCUACUACCGAUUGAACGGUUUAGUGAGGGCCUCGGAUUGGUCUCGGCCCGCUCUUCACCGGGCGGCGCCGUUGGUCGAGAAGACGCUCGAACUUGAUCGUUUGGAGGAAGUAAAAGUCGUAACA
rnacentral:rRNA from 1 species